rnacentral:tRNA from 2 species
AGGAGUGUAGCUCAAUUGGUAGAGCACUGGUCUCCAAAACCAGAGGUUGUAGGUUCAAUUCCUAUCGCUCCUGC